CAUUACUAAGGGAGGCCUAUUGGAAAUAGAAUUUGUGUGGAGUUUUUUAAAUUGUAAGAGUUAAUAGAUUUUUUAAAAGUUAAGUAGAUUUGAUGAAUGGGGAAUUGCCACUAAUACCACUUUCCUAAUACCACUUUUCAACUUUACACUAACCACUUUUACCCUCAUCUUUAAUGAAGGGUAAAAGACAUUUAUAACCUUAUUUAAUGAUACAUAAACAUAUUCUCCAACAAGAAUUUUCAAAAUUUCCAAAUUGAUCGACGACUCCAGUUAGAGAUUCGAUGAGACGAUUCCGGCGAGAAAAUGAGAGAGAUCCUCCACAUCCACGGCGACCAAUGUGUAAACCAGAUCAGAGCCAAGUUCUGGGAAGUGAUCUGCGACGAGCACGGCGUUGACCACACCGGCCAAUACGUCGGCGACUCUCCCCUCCAGCUCGAACGUAUCGAUGUCUACUUCAACGAAUUCUCGAUGUUGUGAGGAAGGAAGCUGAGAACAGCGAUUGCCUACAAGGUUUCCAAUUUUGUUAUUCGUUGGGAGGAGGAACUGGAUCUGGGAUGGGAACGCUUUUGAUCUCUAAGAUUAGGGAAGAGUAUACAGAAUGUGGUUUGUAUGACCAAAUAAUUAAAUAUUUAUAACUCUUUAUAAAGGUUGCAGAAGCUUCUUUAUACAUCAUUUUCUCUCAUCUUCUUCAGACAUCUCUUAUACUAAACCAAUUGUAUAUCCUCUUACGAGUUGCAUAGUUGAAGAGAUUAGUUCGACAUGUAAAUGAGUGUGGUUCCAAUCAUUUCUUUUAUAGAAGAAUGAGAUAUGAAGAAGCAUUGAUAUUUUCAGAUCACGUUAGUAACAACUAACAAAAACUGAGUUUUGCAAGUACAAACUCUAUUGGAGCUAGAUUCAAAUGAUUUACAAAGCUUUAUAAAUUAGUUUAUAAAUAUUUAUAAUUAACUUAUAGACUGCAGUAGAUAUUUUAUAAAGUAUUACAAAUCUAUUUAUAAACCUAUAUGAAUCAAUUUAUACAUUCUUGUAAAUCAAAAUAAAAUAUCCGAAGUCUACUGAUUGCUUGAAGAGCUCAUCAACUUGGUGCUCCCCAAUCCGCCAUGGCUCUAUGAUGAUGAUGCCUUCUACUCCUCUUGCUUGGCGGUUUGAUUCAGCUGAAUUCACACUCAAAGAAGACUAUAACAACUUAUUUUUGAAUGUAUGUUUAUUAAUGUCUCAAGAAGCAUUCAUCCUUCAGAUUAAGUACUAGUAACAAGCAACUAUCUUUUAACAAUGUUUCAUUUCUUAAUAUACUUACAACGCUUUGUCAUACACUCUACACCUUAUUUCAUAAAAUAAAAAGUUGUAACACUUCAAAAUACCACUAACCUGAUUCUUCUGAUAUGUUUUUUGGCUGAAUAGAUAUUUCUCUAACAGCUUAAAAAGACUCUCUAAACUAUUUAUAAAUCUUUUGAUAAAGUCUUAUAAAACCUUUAUAUUUUUUUGUAAACCCUAUAUACUCUUCAAAACCCAUUAAAAUCUUUUAUAAACCCUUAUAAAUCUUUUUUUUGUCAACAUUCUUUUCAUUUAAGCCUCAUGGGCUGAAAUUAUGGGCACAAGUCUUUCGGCUUAAAGCCAAACACUUUGAUACACAAGAUUAAAUUCAUAAAAAUAGGGAACACGUGCAUGUUUUAUAAAGAAAUGAUGAUACGUGGCAGAUUCUGAGGCACAUGCGGACAGUGAACAAUGCUCCACCGCUUCAGACCCCACCGCUUCAGCUCCACGAACGAAGAAACCUCCUUUGUCGGACCUACAAAUCUUAUAUGUCUUUAUAAAUGGUUUAUAGACUCCUACAAAUAAUUUUACAUACUCUUAUAAAUUAUUUUAUAAUGGUGUAUCAAUUUUAUAAAUUAUUUUUAUAAACCCUUAUAAAUUAUUUAUAUACCUUUAUAAACCCUUAUAAACUAUUAUACAAACCAUUAUAAGUUGUUUUGUAAAGCUUUCUAAAUGGUUAUAGACUCUUUUAGUUGAUUUAUAAACCUAUACAGCUCUUAUAAUACCCCUUAUAAAUUGAAUAUAUGCUUUCAUAACAUUCUUAUAAACUUUUAUAAAUAGUUUAUAAAUUGCUUUUAUAAACCCUUAUAAAUUAUUUACAUUCAUCAAUAAUCAUAGAUCUACCCCCAUUGGUUGAUCUGAGAAAGUGAACCAUAGAUCUUAGAGACUCUUACAAAUAAUUUAUAAAUAAUUUAUAUACCCUUAUAAAUGGUUUAUAAAAUUUAUGUAUUGUUUUUAUAAACAUUUAUAAAUGAUUUAUAAACAGUUUCUUAAUUAUUUACAUACUCUUAUAAAUCCUUAUAAACUAUUUUACAUACUCUUAUAAAUUGUUCUAUAAGCCUUUAUAAAUGGUUUGUAGACUCUUACUAACAGUCUUACAAAUAACACAACACAAGACUUCUCGAGUUCACAUGUUUAUAUGCUGUUCUAUAGACAUAUAUGAUGAAUUCUUGUUUAAGAACUUAUUUUAUAAAACCUUGUAAAUUGUUGAGUUGUAUUAUCAACAAUAUCCUAAAAUACAGAUUUAUAAGGGGUUAUAAUUCCUUAAUAUGCAGUGUACUAUCGGAAAAUCUCUCUCUUAGCCGGAACUAUUCAUAUGACAAGUCCAAAUCAACCGUAUUCUAUUUUUGGAUAAACAGAAGGAAGAAAAUCCUAAACCCUUAUAAAUAACGUUAAAUAUUCUUAUAAUCUCAAGUUGGCUACUAGAAAUCUCAGACCCGAAAGUCUUCUCGGAGAAGGUGGAUUUGGUUGUGUCUUUAAAGGAUGGGUGGGGAGAACGGAACUGCUCCUGUUAAGCCUGGCACUGGUCUUACUGUCGCUGUCAAAACCUUGAAUCUUGAUGGCCUUCAGAGUCAUAAAGAGUGGCUUGUAUGAUCCUUUAUAAACACUUCUAAAUUGAUGUAUAAACUCUUAUAAAUUGUGUUAUGAAGAUUAUUAAAUUCUUAUAAUCUUUGGAAUAAACCGUGAUAAAUAGAUUUAUAAACUCUUAUAAAUAGAUUUAUAAACCUUGUAAAUUAAUUUAUAAACACUUACAAAUAAAUGUAUAAACUCUUAUAAAUAGCUUAUAAGUUCUUGUAAAUAGUUUUAUAAACCCUUUUAAAUAGUUUUAUAAACAUUUAUAAAUAGAUAUAUAAAUAUUUAUAUGUGUUUUAUAAACUUUAUAGAUGGUUGGUACAAGCUUUUAUAAGCUCUUAUAAAAUUCAUAAAUGGUUCAUAAAUGGUUUUAUAAACCUUUAUAAAUAGUUAUAUAAAUACAUAUGUGUUUUAUAAACUUUAUAGAUGGUCGAUUACGAUCCAGCUACUUUUGAUCCGACGGAGCACGGUAGUCCACCGACGAAGAUGAUGUAGUCCACCCAUGAAAGCGGUUUAAAACUGAUCUCGUCUCUCACCAUGAGUAGAAAUAGAUUAGAGGAUAUAAGUCUUUUGUUUCCUUAAAAUUUAGGUGCUUUUAAAAAUGGAUAUCUUAAUAGUGUAAACAUGAAUAAGUGUACUUCAGAUGUGCUAGUUUUGCAAUUUUCCCUCUUAUAAAUGAAUUAUACUUUAAAAGAUAUUUAGAAAGCCUUAUAAAUUGUUUUGAUAACCAAUUAUAAAUAGAUUUAUGAACCUAAUAAAUGGUUUUAUAAAUCAUUAUAUAUGAUCUAUAAAUUGUUUUAUAAAUUCUUAUAAUAAAAUAUUAUAAAUGUCUUAAUAAAAGAUUUAUAAAUCGUUAUAUACAAUCUAUAAAUUGUCUUAUAAAAACUAAUAAAUUUAUUUAUAAACCCUUAUAUAUGGUUUAUAAACCAUUAUAAAUUAUUUAUAAAUGAUUUUAAAUAUUUACAAAUGAUUUGUAGACUUGUACAAACAUAUAUAUUAUUUAUUAUCAUUUAAAAGUGAUCUAUAGACCUUUUAAACGUCUAUAAAUGAUUAACAAUAUUGAUAAAGUCCUAUAAAUGAUUUAUUAUCCUUUACAAAUGAUCUACAAAAACUGUUAAUUACCUUUCUGUGCAAAGCUUCACAUACAAUCCAGGAUACAAGACCACAUGAGUCUUUGAACGAAGCAGCUUGUAGAAAUUCAUAUUGGAGACAGGAGAUGCGCCUAUUAUCCUAACUGUGACGAUCAUCUGCACAUCAAGGAGCUUUGAGCCUAUCUUUUUGGCAAACAUCACAGGAUGUGCCAGCCACCGAAGAUAAUGUUUCUCUUUUUCAAGAAAUGAAUUGCUGCUGGACACAGUUCAAGAUCAGGAAUAUGUCCAUUAUUCACAAACUCACGGACUUUACAUUUUGGCAAUGCACAACGGAAUCUUUCAGUGUCUUCUUUGUUAAUCAAUCAGUUAUAAGAAUUAUAAAUGAUUUAUAAAUAGUUAUAAUGUUUCUGCCAAUCUCUAUCUCUCUCUUUUUGUUGCUUCUGAAUUGUGUGUAUUAACUGUAAACGAGCAUCAGUGUACUUGAAAGUAGAAUUAAAAUAUUUGAUUUCAUGUACAAAAUAGCUGGGAACUGCACAUAUGCAAGGAAUUUGGUAAUUUAAAAUCAAAAGAAACCAUAAAAUAAUUUAUAAAGGCUUAUAAAUCAUUUAUUAUGAUUUUCAUACACCAAUUUGUAAGGGUUUAUAAUUUAUUUUAUAAAUUAGCUACAGAACAGCGAAGCAUUACCAGAGAUCACCACAAGGAGAACCCAUGUAGAGGAAACAUAACCAAAAGCCACACCAAGGAGAACCUAACUGGAGACCCGUGAAGAGACACCAUCAAAACUCCACAACACUUAAGAAACAUGAUCUCCUAAAACAAGAGCAGAAACGAAGACAAUUUAGAAACUAUAUCAGGAGAAACGAAGGAACAGAGCAUAACAACAGAAAAAAAAGCACUUUGAUGCAGAAACAAAGGAACAAAACAGGAGAAACGAGCACUAGUCACCAUCGUUGACCAUCUGAAAAAUGAUGCACUAGAAUCGAUGGAAGAAUUAUCACCCCACAUCAGAGCCGGCUUAACCUGCAACCUUGCACCAGAAAACAAUUUUGAGACUAGAGAAGUCUUCCAAGCAACCCGAUAGAAACCCAGCCACACGCUCUCUCCACAAAGCUCUUCCAAUGCAUCAACAACCUCAACCAAGCUUAACUAAACUAAACAACUUCACCAGACUCUAAACAUCCUAGUUAAGGCUGCAAACAGGAGAAACACGAACCAAAUGAGACCCAUGACCUACACCGGUGAUGUAACUCUACCAACAAGCCCACAACCACCGAGUAUGAAGCCAACAACACCUCAAUUCACCGGUUCUCCAACCCAAUGAGAGCAAACGAGGAUUGAUCUGAACCUUUAACCACACAAAACUACUCUCUCAAACUAGAUCAGCAGCCCAAACCAUCGAGAACAUCGCGAAGACAGAGAGAAGAUCCACAAGACAGAGUGAUUCUCGUAAUCUUUUGUCGCCGGCUGUGUGAGAGAAAGCGACGACGGAUUUCGACGGAGACAACGACAGAUCUCGACGGAGACGACAAGAUCUCGACGGAGACGACGGUGGAUCUGACGAUGAUGGAUCUCGAUGAAGACGACGACGGCGAGCCUGGAUGAAGACGACGACGGCGAACCCCAAACCUUAUCUCUUUCCCUUUCUCGAUUACAUCUGGUUUACUCAGGGGCACCUAAGUCAUUUAGUCAUUAAUGAAUAUGGUAUAUUUGAAAAUAUCAUUUAAUGGAUGGUAUAAUUGAAUAAUGGUACUAAGGAAAGUGCAUAAGUAAAAUUUCCCC